UUUCCGUAGGUGAACCUGCGGAAGGAUCAUUAAAAAUGAAAAACGAAUAACUUCAGGGAAGAAGGGAACCUGCCCGGUGACCUCCCCUGUCGGGCCACCCAAUACCUUCAAAAUGCCGCCGUCCUAGCGGUGGCAGACGAAAAAAAAACAAGAAAAACAAAAUAGAAACAGGUACGGUGGCCCGUUCACCUUCACACAACCCUCCGAGUACCGCUUCCAUGUUGCUUCCCCGCAAAUCCACCUCUUUGGUGAGCGCGGGGGAGGUCCGCAUCAAAUUCACCUGAAUGUCACAGCAGUCAGACAGCCAUUCAUGGAAACAAUAAAACUUUCAACAACGGAUCUCUUGGUUCCC
rnacentral:misc_RNA from 1 species